UACGUAGGGGGCAAGCGUUGUCCGGAUUCAUUGGGCGUAAAGAGCGUGUAGGCGGCCAGGUAGGUCGGUUGUGAAAACUGGAGGCUCAACCUUCAGACGUCGACCGAAACCAUCUGGCUAGAGUCCGGGAGAGGAGAGUGGAAUUCCUGGUGUAGCGGUGAAAUGCGCAGAUAUCAGGAAGAACACCCGUGGCGAAAGCGGCUCUCUGGAACGGUACUGACGCUGAGACGCGAAAGCGCGGGGAGCAAACAGG
rnacentral:rRNA from 1 species